AUUUUAGCACUAAAUCAUAUCUUUCAUGGCCACUACAAAAUUCUUCCUUCAGUCAGUUUUGCUACUUUGCAUGGUUUUGUUAUCCUUGUUGGCUCUUCAUCAUUGUAUGCCCAUAUUUAUUUCAAUAUUUUAAAUAUAUAUAUGGCUUUGGAUUGCAUAUACAUGGAUUGAUAAUGUAAAAAAUAUAUUACACUAUCAGUAUAUUUGAGUCUAUUGAAACAUGAUUUAUUUUUCAGGUUACUAAUUUCGCUUUUUACAGACGAUAUUAUCAUCUUUCAUGUGAAUGAAAAGUGUAAAAAAAGGGCUAUUGUAUAAAUAGUCGGUCAGAUUUGAUAUUUACUUUUUUUAGCUGGUUUACAUAAAUUAUAUAUUAAUUAUACAUCCGUCAAUUAUUUUUAAUAUAAGAGAUUAGAUAGUCGACGAUUUGGAUUAAUUCUUCAAAAAAGAAGGCAUGUCUGUGUAUAUAUAGAAGUUAAACUGAUGUAUAUCUUCUUAUACUUUUUCUUAUUUUCAUGAAAUGCAGGUGAUGAAGGUACAAGAGUUAAAGCAGAAGUUACAAGUGAUCCAUGCAUCCCAAUUGUGGAUCAAGGCGCACCUCCCAAAUGGUGUUGCACUGUGGAUAAAGCAUGUUAUGUUUCUCCAGAUACAUGUCAUGCUAGUUGUCACUAAUUAAUGAUUAAUUUUCAAGAAAAAUAAUGUUAAUUCAUAUUGCUACUUCAGCUGGG
rnacentral:lncRNA from 1 species